rnacentral:rRNA from 1 species
GGGUCAGUAGGUUGGUCGUGCCACCGGUACGUACUGGUCUCACUGAUUUCUCCUUCCCGAAGAACCGUAAUGCCAUUAAUUUGGUGUUGCGGGGAAACAGGACUGUUACUUUGAAAAAAUUAGAGUGUUUAAAGCAAGCUAACGCUUGAAUACAUUAGCAUGGAAUAAUGAAAUAGGACGAUCGAUCCUAUUUUGUUGGUUUCUAGGAUUGACGUA